rnacentral:rRNA from 1 species
UACGUAGGGGGCAAGCGUUAUCCGGAAUCACUGGGCGUAAAGGGCGUCUAGGCGGCAAGGCAAGUCUCGCGUAAAAGCUCCCGGCUCAACUGGGAGAGCGCGCGGGAAACUGCCUGGCUAGAGACUCGGAGAGGGGUGUGGAAUUCCCGGUGGAGUGGUGAAAUGCGUUGAGAUCGGGAGGAACACCAGUAGCGAAGGCGGCACCCUGGCCGAGUUCUGACGCUGAAGCGCGACAGCGUGGGGAGCAAACGGG